rnacentral:rRNA from 1 species
AUUGAACGCUGGCGGCAUGCUUUACACAUGCAAGUCGAACGGCAGCACGGAGAGCUUGCUCUCUGGUGGCGAGUGGCGAACGGGUGAGUAAUAUAUCGGAACGUGUCCAAUAAUGGGGGAUAACUAGUCGAAAGAUUAGCUAAUACCGCAUACGCCCUGAGGGGGAAAGUGGGGGAUCUUCGGACCUCACGUUAAUGGAGCGGCCGAUAUCUGAUUAGCUAGUUGGUGGGGUAAAGCCUACCAAGGCGACGAUCAGUAGCUGGUCUGAGAGGAUGAUCAGCCACACUGGGGACUGAGACACGGGCCCAGACUCCUACGGGAGGCAGCAGUGGGGAAUUUUGGACAAUGGGCGAAAGCCUGAUCCAGCCAUGCCGCGUGAGUGAAGAAGGCCUUCGGGUUGUAAAGCUCUUUCGCAAGGAAGAAACUUACAUAUUAAUACUAUGUGAGGAUGACGGUACCUUGAUAAGAAGC